GUSCAAUUGAAAUCUUCAUCCUGUUGUGCAGGAACAGUGCUGAUAUAAAAUGCGUGCAAAGAGGAAACAGAUAUUAGCUACUCUCCUUCCGUAACCAACUUAAAAAGGAAAACAUUCAGCUUUCUCAACAACAAAUGCUGUAGAACAUUUCGAAGAGAUGACAGGGCUUUUGCAUUGCUGUUGGAGCAGAAAAGAUGGAAAAAAGAAUGGACUAGUGAAAUUUUCAUCAUCUUGUACGGUAAUAAAAGAACAGUGCAGGUGUGUUCUUAAAUUUGACAAGGAAAAAUAUCAGCACAAAAAAUGUCAAGCAUGAUUGCUCAGCAAUGAUUUCUGAAAGUACAGAGGGAUACAAAGAUGAUGAUCAACAACUCUUAAGAGUCGUUAAGGUAAUUUUGAUGGCUGAAAUAUGCUCCCCGGCCCUGACGCCUCUGGCGGUGGGCGUGAGAGGCACCUCAGUGGUGGCCGCUCRGCCCGGGCUGCACCGGACGCAGGCACCACCUCCCGCCAGGCAUCCGGGUCCCCUGACUGCUGUCUGUGGCCGGGCUCACGGCUCCAAAAUACCUGCCUCCAGGAGCCGUUACCGAGCUGGAGUCUCUCAGGAGCGACCCAGGCAUACAAGACCUGGAAGSUGGGGCUGUUCCAAGCUCCACACCAGAGGUGCUGCAGCCCAGUUGUAAAUAGGAACGGACCAAUGAUUUGGUCCCUUUCUCCCUCAGAAGUCAACAGACCAGAUGAUCCGUUCCUCUGUAUUGACCGAUCUCCCACCUCAGUUGACUUUCUAUUGGCCUGGAGGAAACUCAGCUUGCUCUCCUCUGCAUCAUUCUUGCUUGCCCUCGUACAACUAGGAAGGUGCGGUGGGGACUUAACACCGACCAAYGGUAGCACAACUUCAGCUGAGCUGCUAGAAGUGGGACGUACAAAGCUGGACGUGCUCCAGCGCUUGCUUUGUUGGACCAGUGAACAGGGCCGUUGCUCGAGUUUCACCGCGUGGGAACAACAGGCUCAAGCAGUCACGCAGGGGACUUCUGGCUCAAC
rnacentral:lncRNA from 1 species